rnacentral:rRNA from 1 species
GACGAACGCUGGCGGCGUGCUUAACACAUGCAAGUCGAACGAGACGAUUGAAAGCUUGCUUUCGAAAGUCGAGUGGCAAACGGGCGAGUAACGCGUAGACAACCCGCCUUUGAGAUGGGGACAACAGUUCGAAAGGACUGCUAAUACCGAAUGUUGUAUAUUUUCCACAUGGAAGAUAUAUUAAAGAUGGCCUCUAUUUAUAAGCUAUCGCUCAAAGAUGGGUCUGCGUCUGAUUAGCUAGUUGGUGGGGUAACGGCCUACCAAGGCGACGAUCAGUAGCCCGUAUGAGAGGAUGAACGGCCACAUUGGGACUGAGACACGGCCCAGACUCCUACGGGAGGCAGCAGUGGGGAAUCUUCCACAAUGGACGAAAGUCUGAUGGAGCAACGCCGCGUGAGUGAAGAAGGGUUUCGGCUCGUAAAGCUCUGUUGUCGGGGACGAAUGUGCAGUAUUUGAAUAAAGUACUGCAAUGACGGUACCUGACGAGGAAGCCACGGCUAACUACGUGCCAGCCGCCGCCGUAA